CGGUUGAUCCCGCCGGACCCGACUGCUAUUUGGGUGAGGAUAAGCCAUGCGAGUUGAAUGGGAAACCUAAAAAUCCCAUGGCAAACUGCUCAGUAACACAUGAUCAACUUACCCUAUAGAGGAAAAUAACCUCGGGAAACUGAGGAUAAUGUUCCAUAGUUGAAUCGGCUUGGAAAAGUUUUUCAAUUAAAGGGAUAAGGAAAAUGGUUCUUAUCUGCUAUAGGAUAGGAUCGUGCUCGAUUAUGGUUGUUGGUGAGGUAAAGGCUCACCAAGCCGAUAAUCGAUAGGGGCCGUGAGAGCGGGAGCCCCGAGAUGGGUACUGAGACAACGACCCAGGCCUUACGAGGCGCAGCAGGCGCGAAACCUCCGCAAUACACGAAAGUGUGACGGGGUUACCCAAAGUGUUCUAUUUAGAACUGUGGUAGGUGAGUAAUGUCCCCUACUAGAAAGGAGAGGGCAAGGCUGGUGCCAGCCGCCGCGGUAAAACCAGCUCUUCAAGUGGUCGGGAUAAUUAUUGGGCUUAAAGUGUCCGUAGCCGGUUUAGUAAGUUCCUGGUAAAAUCGGGUAGCUUAACUAUCUAUAUGCUAGGAAUACUGCUAUACUAGAGGGCGGGAGAGAUCUGAGGUACUACAGGGGUAGGGGUGAAAUCUUAUAAUCCUUGUAGGACCACCAGUGGCGAAGGCGUCAGACUGGAACGCGCCUGACGGUGAGGGACGAAAGCCAGGGGAGCGAACCGGAUUAGAUACCCGGGUAGUCCUGGCCGUAAACGAUGCAUACUAGGUGAUGGCACGGCCAUGAGCCGUGUCAGUGCCGUAGGGAAACCGUUAAGUGUGCCGCCUGGGAAGUACGGUCGCAAGGCUAAAACUUAAAGGAAUUGGCGGGGGAGCACCACAAGGGGUGAAGCCUGCGGUUCAAUUGGAUUCAACGCCGGG
rnacentral:rRNA from 1 species